rnacentral:tRNA from 1 species
CUUCGGCAAGCAGCAAAGUGCAAAUUUGUAGAGCAGACCCCUAAAAGAGGUCCCGGGGCUU